GCCCUCGUUGAUCAAUGGAGAUCACCCGUACAAAUUAAUACAGCAGGAAUGAAGAUCAGUGGGCAGAGGGGGUUCGAAUCCCCCCGAGGGCA